GAUGAACGCUAGCGGGAGGCCUAACACAUGCAAGCCGAGCGGUAGAGUUUCUUCGGAAACUUGAGAGCGGCGCACGGGUGCGUAACACGUGUGCAACCUACCUUUAUCUGGGGGAUAGCCUUUCGAAAGGAAGAUUAAUACCCCAUAAUAUAAUGAUUGGCAUCAAUUAUUAUUGAAAACUCCGGUGGAUAGAGAUGGGCACGCGCAAGAUUAGAUAGUUGGUGAGGUAACGGCUCACCAAGUCAAUGAUCUUUAGGGGUCCUGAGAGGGAGAUCCCCCACACUGGUACUGAGACACGGACCAGACUCCGACGGGAGGCAGCAGUGAGGAAUAUUGGACAAUGGGUGAGAGCCUGAUCCAGCCAUCCCGCGUGAAGGAUGACGGUCCUAUGGAUUGUAAUCUUCUUUUGUACAGGGAUAAACCUACCCUCGUGAGGGUAGCUGAAGGUACUGUACGAAUAAGCACCGGCUAACUCCGUG
rnacentral:rRNA from 1 species